CUCAACAAAAGGAAGAAAAGAAAAUAUGGCAGCAAAUUAAUUUCAAUAAUUAGAUUUUUUAAAAAUUAUAUUAUUACAGAACCAUAUGAAUUUCAAUAUUUAAAUUAAUUGAAUAACACAUUUAUUAGUCAAAAUCUCAUAAUGUUUAGGACUCAACAAAAAAAAAGGAAAAGAAAAUAUGGCAUAAAAAUUAAUUUUAUUGGUUGAAUUCAACUCAAGAUCGACAUUAUGAUGUUAACAAAACAAGUUUUAGAUUAAAUAAGUCCUAGUAGUUGUAGUCCAUAUUAAUAAUCGUGUAAUCAAAUUAAUGUGCCUUUUUGACGGAUCGGAGACAUGAAACAAAGUCUUUUUGUAUUUUUUCUAAAGAAUGAUGCUCUCAGUGAUGGACUGGCUUUAGAUUCUUUUGAUUAUAUAUUGAAAAAAAGGAGAUAAGAUCUAGAUGCUGAGUUGCUGACUCCCAAAACACAAAGAGAUGCUUCAAAUAAUUCGUGCAAAAACAAUAAACAUAUAAUCUAAACUAUAAAAUAUUUUUUUAGAAUGAAUGUUAUGUUAAAAAGGGGAAAAAGACAAUAAAAACUAAAAUUGUUUACAGAGAGAUUGGAAAAUAUUAUAUUAGUUGAAGAGUGUGUGUGAUUUUUUAAAAUGAGCACUAAGUAGAUCUACCAAAAAAAUCAUAGAGGUAAGUAGACAUUUUGGUGGAAAAUUUCCUGCAUGUCUACCAAACACAAACACCGUCGUGGCGUCGUCUGUCGGACAUACAUUUUUAGAAAGCCUAAUAAUGAGAAAGGAUGGGCCUAUAUUAUAUCUACAGGCCCAAAGUUUUUAUCUACAUUGCGUUGGAAAUAUAUUAAGGAUUUGCUUAAAAACAAUAUAUAUAUAUAUAUAUAUAUAUCUAUACUAUUAUUCGCGAAGUAAAUUUUUGCAUCCGAACUCUCACGUUGAAAGUUAGAGCGGUUAAUAUCUAUACUAUCCUUAAUGAAUUUUUAUAUAUAAUUAAAAACGAAAUUUAUGUUAAUAAUAUUAGAUUUAUAUGUUAUAUUAGAUAAUUGUAAAUCACGAUAAAUUUGUCAAAUAAAAACAUGUUUAAAAAAAAUAAUUAUUAUAUAUAUUGUGUUGUUAUCUGAAAAUAAUAUUUUCCACUAUAUAAUUUAAAAAUCAAUUUUAUGUUAAU
rnacentral:lncRNA from 1 species